GUAGAUCGUAUCACAAUCUUAGGUGAAGUAGAGAGGUGGUUUUUAGUAAAUAAUAAAGUAAAAUAAAAAUUAAGUCUUUGCACACAAAUGGGCCAACCCAUAUAAAAAAACACAAAAAACAAACAUAAAAGGCCCUACUUCUAUCUGAUACCCAGUGAUUCGGCCCAAACCCAGCUACUCUUACAUAUAUUCGAUACUUUAGGGUUUCCUAAACCAUUCGCCUUGUUCCGUCGCAAUAACCCUAAGACACUUGAGAAAUGUUGUCUUUUUCUUUGUUGAAUUGUAGCUUCCUCUUGUACAAACUUUGGGUGAUCAACUUCGUGCCAUGGAUUAUUGUUCCUGCUUAUUUCAACUUGCAGAAGUAAGUGUCGAUUAUUACCUUGUAUUAUUAGUUCCUUCAUUUUCAGCUCAUUUUUCCUUUGUUUUAUUGCUCUUAGUUGUGCUCUCCGGUGGAUGGGAAUUACAUCUUGUUGUGCUCUGCUGAGGUUUCUAGGCCCCUGAAGAUUAUUACUUCUCCGAAUAUGGAUGGUAUGGAGAUAAUGGGAUGCUCGGAACCACAAGUAUUUAGAUAGUAAUAAACUCUUCAGGUGUACGAAUUGCAAACCACCCAAGUAACCCUCCCUUUUUACUGCGAAUCAUUUUUGUUGGCCUCUAUAGUGUAAGCUUGAUACAAUAAAAACUUGAAAGACAUGAAAUUGGCUCAAAACAGUCCAAACACACUCCAAAAACAAUCCACUAAUUCAAAGAAUCGAGGACUCUUUUAGAGACCACUCUCGGAUUUAAGAAUGCGGUACAAGAUGGACAAUAUUAUAGGUGUUUGACACCUUUUGCAGCCAACAACAAACUAAGUUAGCAGCACAAGAUGAAACAACAAUGAGAAGAAGAACAACAACAAAAAUGACUUCACAAUACAAGAUACAAAACGGAUACAGGAUUACAAAAGGAAAAUGAUAGAUAGAUAGACCACAUGAAGGUAUAAUGUUAAAAACCCAAGAAUGGUAACCCUUGGACCCUUAACGCUACAUACAACAAUAAACCUAUCUCUUAC